GUGCUCACUUCGGCAGCACAUAUACUAAAAUUGGAAUGAUACAGAGAAGAUUAUCAUGGCCCCUGUGCAAAGAUGACACAACAAUCUCAUUUACAGUUGUAU
rfam:Pteropus alecto contig40533, whole genome shotgun sequence.